CGGGGGAGCAAGCGUUGUUCGGAUUUACUGGGCGUAAAGGGCGCGUAGGCGGCCACCGCAAGUCGACUGUGAAAUCUCCGGGCUUAACCCGGAAAGGUCAGCCGAUACUGCGGGGCUAGAGUGCAGAAGGGGCAACUGGAAUUCUCGGUGUAGCGGUGAAAUGCGUAGAUAUCGAGAGGAACACCUGCGGCGAAGGCGGGUUGCUGGGCUGACACCGACGCUGAGGCGCGAAAGCUAGGGGAGCGAACGGGAUUAGAUACCCCGGUAGUCCUAGCCUUAAACGAUGAAUGCUUGGUGUCUGGGGUUUUAUAGUCCCCGGGUGCCGUCGCUAACGCUUUAAGCAUUCCGCCUGGGGAGUACGGUCGCAAGACUG
rnacentral:rRNA from 1 species